UAGGGAAUCUUCGGCAAUGGGGGCAACCCUGACCGAGCAACGCCGCGUGAGUGAAGAAGGUUUUCGGAUCGUAAAGCUCUGUUGUAAGAGAAGAACGUGUGUGAGAGUGGAAAGUUCACACAGUGACGGUAACUUACCAGAAAGGGACGGCUAACUACGUGCCAGCAGCCGCGGUAAUACGUAGGUCCCGAGCGUUGUCCGGAUUUAUUGGGCGUAAAGCGAGCGCAGGCGGUUUAAUAAGUCUGAAGUUAAAGGCAGUGGCUUAACCAUUGUUCGCCUUGGAACCUGUUAAACUUGAGUGCAGAAGGGGAGAGUGGAAUUCCAUGUGUAGCGGUGAAAUGCGUAGAUAUAUGGAGGAACACCGGUGGCGAAAGCGGCUCUCUGGUCUGUAACUGACGCUGAGGCUCGAAAGCGUGGGGAGCAAACAGG
rnacentral:rRNA from 1 species